rnacentral:rRNA from 1 species
UACGGAGGGCGCAAGCGUUGUUCGGAAUCACUGGGCGUAAAGCGCGUGUAGGCGGCUUGGCAAGUCGGGUGUGAAAGCCCGGAGCUCAACUCCGGAACUGCACUCGAAACUGCCUCGCUCGAGUCCCGGAGAGGGUGGUGGAAUUCCCGGUGUAGAGGUGAAAUUCGUAGAUAUCGGGAGGAACACCAGUGGCGAAGGCGGCCACCUGGACGGUGACUGACGCUGAGACGCGAAAGCGUGGGGAGCAAACAGG